rnacentral:rRNA from 1 species
UCGGACUGUAGGCUGCAACUCGCCUACACGAAGUCGGAAUCGCUAGUAAUGGCAGGUCAGCAUACUGCCGUGAAUACGUUCCCGGGCCUUGUACACACCGCCCGUCACACCAUGAGAGUUGGGGAUACCCGAAGCCUGUGAGCUAACUUUUAGAGGCAGCAGUCGAAGGUAGAAUCAAUGAUUGGGGUGAAGUCGUAACAAGGUACC